GCGUUGCCUUGGUGGCAAGUGAAGCUAUAACGACUACAUGCUAGCAUUAGCUUCGGUAUGCUCCUGAACAAAAAUGAACAGCAAUGACAUUUGUCUGCUUCUUGGAGCAACUGGCGUCGGGAAAACGUUGUUGCUGAAACGUCUACAAAUUUACAGCUCAGUUUGCAUGGAUUGGAGGAACUGGGCGAAACUCCUUCUACCCUGCCUACAGUAGGAACCAACCUGACAGACCUGAAACUGAAAAAGAAGAAGGUGACAUUGAGAGAGCUGGGAGGCUGCAUGGGUCCUAUAUGGCCGAGUUACUUCAAAGACUGCUCAUCUGUAAUUUUCAUGGUGGACUCAGCCAACAUUGCUCAGAUAUCCGCCUCCUGUAUCCAGCUGCUGUCAGUUCUCUCUGCUGAGCAUUUGCACAAUGCCUCUGUGCUUAUUCUAUUCAACAAGAGGGACAUGCCCUGCACUAUGAGUCUCGUGGAGAUAAAGUCGCUGUUCAGAAUGGAUGACAUCAUUGCAUCUGCUACUCAGCCGAUCACAACACAGGAACUCAGUGCCCGCUCUGGACAGGGACUUCAGGAGGUGCUGAGCUGGCUGGAGUCCAUCAUAGUCAAGUGAAAUAUCAUAUGUUUUUUCCUUAUGAAAAUAUGCUCCUCCUACAAGACUUGAUCUAGCCUCUUGGCAAGAUAUGUCUGAAAUGUCUGUGUGCAAAGACAAUGUACACACAGUUUGGAUGGACUUAAUGAUGUGUUAAACUGAUGAACUGGUGCUGUAUCUUUGGUUCCAUAUACAUAUGGCUACUAUUCAACAGUGUGAAUGGGAAAGGAAAUAUAUUAGUGAUAUUAUGGCAGGAUUUUGUGAUUAUUAAGUACCAUAACUCUUGUUAAACCAAAUAAUACUGUAGAUCUUAACAACAGUUAGUAGUUUUUAUACUGUCACCUUUACCAAUUAAAUGCCACAGAUACGCUGCUGGAAUGUAUGACUAACUGCAGUUCGAUUCUCAUGUCUAAGUAAAGACUUGUUUUAUAUUAAAACAAAAUAGUCUGAUUUCUGUAAGUGAUGCAGCAUGGUGGCAAUGAGUCACUACCAGCAGGGGGCAUAAAGUUAACAAAUACUGUAAGCCUUAGAUUUCAUAAUUUCAUUAUAAUGCAAUGAUAUCACAGAAAAAUUAGAACAUACAAAAUAAUAAAACCAACUAAAGAAUGACGCAGUGUUGCAAUUACACUCUUAUAUUUGAUGAUUCAGUGGAUCACAAGCAAUUAAUUAAACUCUUAAUUAUUA